AACCAUAUCUUACCCUUAGUGUUGGAACUUUCAUCACAACUUAAAAGGCAAGUCCCUGGGUUGGCCUUAAAUGAUGACAUGAAGAAAUGAAGACAAGCGAUGGCACUGUGUGGGAAAGCUAAAAAUCCAUGGAAAUGCUGUAUGUAUAAAAUUUGGUAUAAACAAAAAAAAUAUACUGGACUUCAAAAGCAAUGCAGACAAACCGAAGCCAUUCGUCUGCGUGACCACAUUGACAAGGACAACAAACACAACCCGGGGCUUAAAAAAAUCCCCAUUUUCCUGGCUGAAUGAUAUAAAUUUUUUUGUGUUCAUCUCCUUGCUAAUAAAAACUACCAAUAGUUUGUCACUUUUUUAAA